CUAAGAAUGGUAACAGAGCGCCACUUAAGACAUGCUCGCCAAUAGGCUAUGGACAGGAAAAGUCUACAGCAAUUGCUUUUGGAGAGCAGGGCUCAGGUAAUACAAAAUGAUAUGGAUUCUGAUCUUCCUCCACCUCACCCCCAAAUUUUCCAGGAGUGAUAGAGUGAGUAAGGUAUUUGCCUUAAACUGCCCCCAACCCAGUGCAUAUGACCUUCAACACACGAACCUUGCCCUCCGCGAGCCGCGGCCCCUUCACCUGUGAAAUGGGGCUACAUAUUGCACAGACCUGAAGGAUACUGCAAGGAUGAGCUAAGAAGACCCACAUGAAGUAGCCCG